rnacentral:sRNA from 1 species
GUUUCAAUUCCUCAUAGGCAGGCUAUCGGCGGGCUACUGAAAGCCCAAACCGGUGGCGCGCCGUCUCG